UCCUUGUUCAAGAAAAUCAACUAUUCGAAUUUCCUACACUUUUUCAAGAAAUCUCGCAAUUAAUUCAAAAGAUUUUUCACCCAUUGAUAAAAGUUUUUAUUUCAGAAUCGAAAACAUCAAAGAAUUGAGUUCUAAAAAGUCGCAUGACCCGAAAGUCAUGACAAAUUCAAGUUCUAGCAAGAGAAAAUCUAUAAAGAACAAACAUGCAUCAACUUCAAAAGAUUCGAAAAUCCCAAAGAAAAUGGGUAGAAAGGUGACACUUCCAAUUAUUCGACCAACACUACCCAUAAAUAUGAUUUAUGUAAUUGAACAUAUUUCAAAGAACACUCUAAAGUUUGGUCCUACCUACAACUCCAACUUUAUUGAAUAUUUAGUAUCAUUAAUAAAGGAUCAAGGUAUGAAAUUAUUCAAUAAAGGAUCAAAGUAUGGUAUGUACAAAGUCAAGGCUGGAUAUGUUAGCGAUAUUGAAGAUCUUAUAAGGCCAAAGAGUGGCUACACUACACCAGUAGAAGGUGGACUGAUUAAUGUAGAAUAGUUAGGUUUUUAUUGUGUUGAAGUUACGUUAAUUAGUAUUUUGUAUUGUCACUUAUCAUUCCAACACAAUCUUACUAAGUAAUUAUUAAUUUGAAGAACG